rnacentral:rRNA from 1 species
AACGAACGCUGGCGGCAUGCCUAACACAUGCAAGUCGAACGAGAUCUUCGGGUCUAGUGGCGCACGGGUGCGUAACGCGUGGGAAUCUGCCCUUUGCUUCGGAAUAACAGUGAGAAAUUACUGCUAAUACCGGAUGAUGUCUUCGGACCAAAGAUUUAUCGGCAAGGGAUGAGCCCGCGUAGGAUUAGGUAGUUGGUGGGGUAAUGGCCUACCAAGCCGACGAUCCUUAGCUGGUCUGAGAGGAUGAUCAGCCACACUGGGACUGAGACACGGCCCAGACUCCUACGGGAGGCAGCAGUGGGGAAUAUUGGACAAUGGGGGAAACCCUGAUCCAGCAAUGCCGCGUGAGUGAUGAAGGCCUUAGGGUUGUAAAGCUCUUUUACCAGGGAUGAUAAUGACAGUACCUGGAGAAUAAGCUCCGGCUAACUCCGUGCCAGCCGCCGCUGUAAUAC